rnacentral:rRNA from 1 species
AACGAACGCUGGCGGCGCGUCUUAAACAUGCAAGUCGAACGAUUUGUAGCAAUACAGGGAGUGGCGGACGGGUGAGGAACACGUAGGAAUCUACCUUGAAGAGCGGGACAACUUUGGGAAACCGGGGCUAAUACCGCAUAGUACAGAGAUGUUAAAGGGCUAGCAAUAGUCGCUUCGAGAUGAGCCUGCGGUCUAUCAGCUUGUUGGUGAGGUAAUGGCUCACCAAGGCUACGACGGAUAGCCGGUCUGAGAGGAUGAUCGGCCACACUGGCACUGAGACACGGGCCAGACUCCUACGGGAGGCAGCAGUUAAGAAUCUUGCGCAAUGGGGGAAACCCUGACGCAGCGACGCCGCGUGAAGGAUG